UAGGGAAUCUUCCGCAAUGGACGCAAGUCUGACGGAGCAACGCCGCGUGAGUGAAGAAGGAUUUCGGUUCGUAAAACUCUGUUGUUAGAGAAGAACAGCGCAUAGAGUAACUGUUAUGCGUGUGACGGUAUCUAACCAGAAAGCCACGGCUAACUACGUGCCAGCAGCCGCGGUAAUACGUAGGUGGCAAGCGUUGUCCGGAUUUAUUGGGCGUAAAGCGAGCGCAGGCGGUCAAUUAAGUCAGAUGUGAAAGCCCCCGGCUCAACCGGGGAGGGUCAUUGGAAACUGGUUGACUUGAGUGCAGAAGAGGAGAGUGGAAUUCCAUGUGUAGCGGUGAAAUGCGUAGAUAUAUGGAGGAACACAAGUGGCGAAGGCGACUCUCUGGUCUGUAACUGACGCUGAGGUUCGAAAGCGUGGGUAGCAAACAGG
rnacentral:rRNA from 1 species